rnacentral:rRNA from 1 species
GACGAACGCUGGCGGCGUGCUUAACACAUGCAAGUCGAACGAAGUGGCGAACGGGUGAGUAACGCGUAAUCAACCUGCCCUUCAGAGGGGGACAACAGUCGGAAACGACUGCUAAUACCGCAUACUGAAGGAGGGGAUUGCGUCUGAUUAGCUAGUUGGAGGGGUAACGGCCCCACAAGGCGAUGGGCAGUCGCCGGUCUGAGAGGAUGAACGGCGCCAUGGGGACUGAGACAAGGCCCAGACUCCUACGGGAGGCAGCAGUGGGGAAUCUUCGGCAAUGGACGGAAGUCUGACGGAGCAACGCCGGGGGGGUGAUGACGGCCUUCGGGUUGUAAAGCUCUGUUAAUCGGGACGCGGUACCGGAAUAGAAAGCAACGGCUAACUACGUGCCAGCAGCCGCGGUAAUUC